GUUUUGAUGUCAAAAAUUGUUUUAUUUUUUAAACUUUUCUUUCAAAUUAGUUUUAAUCCAUAAAAAAAUUAAAAACAUUGCCUGACUGUACCUUAGUUGAAUAUCUAUAUCCAAAUUCAAUUAAUUAAAGCUGUAAUCCAUGAUCACAAAUUGAAUGCUUUGUUUACAAUUGUUGAAAGCCAUGUGCUUUUUGGCGGGAAAAUUCGGGAAACCCCUUAACAGAAAACAGUUACAUUUCAUUGUUAUUUAUAAACAGUAAGAAUUUCAUUUUUAUUAACUGCUAACAUUUAUUCAUGAAAAAUAAAAAAAUUCUUGAGGUGAAACUGAUAAUACUUUUUAUACUCUACAUCUACUAAAGGGAUGGUAAAAUGGAAAAAGGGGGGGGGGGGCUGUUUUUUUUUUCUCAUAAUAUUACAAAAAUAGAUAAUUUUGAGUGAAAAUAUAGGUCUGGCAGAAAUGUGAUGGGUCUGGCAAAACUUGGUACCCUGAAGGCCCCAAUGUCUGACAGGAAAAAAAAACUGUUUGCAUCUCUG
rnacentral:lncRNA from 1 species